GACGAACGCUGGCGGCGUGCUUAACACAUGCAAGUCGAACGGAAAGGCCCUGCUUUUGUGGGGUGCUCGAGUGGCGAACGGGUGAGUAACACGUGAGUAACCUGCCCUUGACUUUGGGAUAACUUCAGGAAACUGGGGCUAAUACCGGAUAGGAGCUCCUGCUGCAUGGUGGGGGUUGGAAAGUUUCGGCGGUUGGGGAUGGACUCGCGGCUUAUCAGCUUGUUGGUGGGGUAGUGGCUUACCAAGGCUUUGACGGGUAGCCGGCCUGAGAGGGUGACCGGCCACAUUGGGACUGAGAGACGGACCAGACUCGUACGGGAGGCAGCAGUGGGGAAUAUUGCACAAUGGGCGGAAGCCUGAUGCAGCAACGCCGCGUGCGGGAUGACGGCCUUCGGGUUGUAAACCGCUUUCGCCUGUGACGAAGCGUGAGUGACGGUAAUGGGUAAAGAAGCACCGGCUAACUACGUG
rnacentral:rRNA from 1 species